GACGAACGCUGGCGGCGUGCUUAACACAUGCAAGUCGAACGGAAAGGCCCUGCUUUUGUGGGGUGCUCGAGUGGCGAACGGGUGAGUAACACGUGAGUAACCUGCCCUUGACUUUGGGAUAACUUCAGGAAACUGGGGCUAAUACCGGAUAGGAGCUCCUGCUGCAUGGUGGGGGUUGGAAAGUUUCGGCGGUUGGGGAUGGACUCGCGGCUUAUCAGCUUGUUGGUGGGGUAGUGGCUUACCAAGGCUUUGACGGGUAGCCGGCCUGAGAGGGUGACCGGCCACAUUGGGACUGAGAUACGGCCCAGACUCCUACGGGAGGCAGCAGUGGGGAAUAUUGCACAAUGGGCGGAAGCCUGAUGCAGCAACGCCGCGUGCGGGAUGACGGCCUUCGGGUUGUAAACCGCUUUCGCCUGUGACGAAGCGUGAGUGACGGGAAUGGGGAAAGAAGCACCGGCGAACUACGU
rnacentral:rRNA from 1 species